rnacentral:rRNA from 2 species
GGGGGGGGCAAGCGUUGUUCGGAAUUACUGGGCGUAAAGGGCUCGUAGGUGGCCAACUAAGUCAGACGUGAAAUCCCUCAGCUUAACUGGGGAACUGCGUCUGAUACUGGAUGGCUUGAGUUUGGGAGAGGGAUGCGGAAUUCCAGGUGUAGCGGUGAAAUGCGUAGAUAUCUGGAGGAACACCGGUGGCGAAGGCGGCAUCCUGGACCAACACUGACACUGAGGAGCGAAAGCCAGGGGAGCAAACGGGAUUAGAUACCCCGGUAGUCCUGGCCCUAAACGAUGAAUGCUUGGUGUGGCGGGUAUCGAUCCCUGCCGUGCCGAAGCUAACGCAUUAAGCAUUCCGCCUGGGGAGUACGGUCGCAAGGCUG